GUGCCAGCCGCCGCGGUAAUACGAAGGGGGCUAGCGUUGCUCGGAAUUACUGGGCGUAAAGGGCGCGUAGGCGGAUAUCUAAGUUGGGGGUGAAAUCCCGGGGCUCAACCUCGGAAUUGCCUUCAAAACUGGAUAUCUUGAGUUCGGGAGAGGUGAGUGGAACUCCGAGUGUAGAGGUGAAAUUCGUAGAUAUUCGGAAGAACACCAGUGGCGAAGGCGACUCACUGGCCCGAUACUGACGCUGAGGCGCGAAAGCGUGGGGAGCAAACAGGAUUAGAUACCCCGGUAGUCC
rnacentral:rRNA from 1 species